UGGCAAAGUGGACUGCCUGGUC
rnacentral:siRNA from 1 species